AUUGAACGCUGGCGGCAGGCCUAACACAUGCAAGUCGAGCGGAUGAAGGGAGCUUGCUCCUGGAUUCAGCGGCGGACGGGUGAGUAAUGCCUAGGAAUCUGCCUGGUAGUGGGGGAUAACGUCCGGAAACGGGCGCUAAUACCGCAUACGUCCUGAGGGAGAAAGUGGGGGUUCUUCGGACCUCACGCUAUCAGAUGAGCCUAGGUCGGAUUAGCUAGUUGGUGGGGUAAAGGCCUACCAAGGCGACGAUCCGUAACUGGUCUGAGAGGAUGAUCAGUCACACUGGAACUGAGACACGGUCCAGACUCCUACGGGAGGCAGCAGUGGGGAAUAUUGGACAAUGGGCGAAAGCCUGAUCCAGCCAUGCCGCGUGUGUGAAGAAGGUCUUCGGAUUGUAAAGCACUUUAAGUUGGGAGGAAGGGCAGUAAGCUAAUACCUUGCUGUUUUGACGUUACCAACAUAAUAAGCACCGGCUAACUUCGUG
rnacentral:rRNA from 1 species